rnacentral:rRNA from 1 species
AGAGUUUGAUCAUGGCUCAGAUUGAACGCUGGCGGCAUGCCUUACACAUGCAAGUCGAGCGGCAGCGCGGGGGCAACCCUGGCGGCGAGCGGCGAACGGGUGAGUAAUGCAUCGGAACGUGUCCUCUUGUGGGGGAUAACCAGUCGAAAGACUGGCUAAUACCGCAUGAGAUCGAGAGAUGAAAGCAGGGGACCGCAAGGCCUUGCGCGAGAGGAGCGGCCGAUGCCCGAUUAGCUAGUUGGUGAGGUAACGGCUCACCAAGGCGACGAUCGGUAGCUGGUCUGAGAGGAUGAUCAGCCACAUUGGGACUGAGACACGGCCCAAACUCCUACGGGAGGCAGCAGUGGGGAAUCUUGCGCAAUGGGCGAAAGCCUGACGCAGCCAUGCCGCGUGAAUGAUGAAGGUCUUAGGAUUGUAAAAUUCUUUCACCGGGGACGAUAAUGACGGUACCCGGAGAAGAAGCCCCGGCUAACUUCGUGCCAGCAGCCGCGGUAAUACGA